UACGGAGGGGACUAGCGUUGUUCGGAAUUACUGGGCGUAAAGCGCACGUAGGCGGAUUCUUAAGUCAGGGGUGAAAUCCUGGAGCUCAACUCCAGAACUGCCUUUGAUACUGAGGGUCUUGAGUUCGGGAGAGGUGAGUGGAACUGCGAGUGUAGAGGUGAAAUUCGUAGAUAUUCGCAAGAACACCAGUGGCGAAGGCGGCUCACUGGCCCGAUACUGACGCUGAGGUGCGAAAGCGUGGGGAGCAAACAGG
rnacentral:rRNA from 1 species